GAUGAACGCUAGCGGUAGGCCUAACACAUGCAAGUCGAACGGUAACAGAGAGAGCUUGCUCUUUGCUGACGAGUGGCGGACGGGCGCGUAACACGUAUGCAACAUACCUUCUACAGGGGGAUAGCCCAGAGAAAUUUGGAUUAAUACCCCAUAACAUCAUGGAUUCGCAUGUUUCUAUGAUUAAAACUCCGGUGGUAGAAGAUUGGCAUGCGGCCCAUUAGUUAGUUGGUGAGGUAAUGGCUCACCAAGACCACGAUGGGUAGGGGGUCUGAGAGGAUGAUCCCCCACACUGGUACUGAGACACGGACCAGACUCCUACGGGAGGCAGCAGUGAGGAAUAUUGGACAAUGGACGAAAGUCUGAUCCAGCCAUACCGCGUGCAGGAAGACAGCCCUACGGGUCGUAAACUGCUUUUGUUUGCCAAGAAACCUCCCCACGUGUGGGGAGCUGACGGUAGCAUUCGAAUAAGGACCGGCUAACUCCGUGCCAGCAGCCGCGGUAAUACGGAGGGUCCAAGCGUUAUCCGGAUUUAUUGGGUUUAAAGGGUUCGUAGGCGGGAAGAUAAGUCAGUGGUGAAAGCCUGUGGCUCAACCAUAGAAUUGCCAUUGAUACUGUCUUUCUUGAAUGCACAUGAAGUGGGCGGAAUGUGUCGUGUAGCGGUGAAAUGCUUAGAUAUGACACAGAACACCGAUUGCGAAGGCAGCUCACUAAAGUGUUAUUGACGCUGAGGAACGAAAGCGUGGGGAGCGAACAGGAUUAGAUACCCUGGUAGUCCACGCUGUAAACGAUGAUCACUCGAU
rnacentral:rRNA from 1 species